rnacentral:rRNA from 1 species
GAGUUUGAUCUUGGCUCAGGAUUAACGCUAGCGGCAGGCCUAAUACAUGCAAGUCGUGGGGCAGCAGGUGUAGCAAUACAUGCUGGCGACCGGCGCACGGGUGCGUAACACGUAUGCAAUCUACCUAUAGCUGGGGAACAACUCCGGGAAACCGGGGCGUAAUACCGCAUGAAACUUCGAGAGGGCAUCCCCUUGAAGUCAAACCUCCGGGGGCCGUAUAGAUGAGCAUGCGUCCGA